rnacentral:rRNA from 1 species
UACGUAGGUGGCAAGCGUUGUCCGGAAUUAUUGGGCGUAAAGCGCGCGCAGGCGGUCCUUUAAGUCUGAUGUGAAAGCCCACGGCUCAACCGUGGAGGGUCAUUGGAAACUGGGGGACUUGAGUGCAGGAGAGAAGAGUGGAAUUCCACGUGUAGCGGUGAAAUGCGUAGAGAUGUGGAGGAACACCAGUGGCGAAGGCGACUCUUUGGCCUGUUCUUGACGCUGAGGCGCGAAAGCUAGGGGAGCAAACGGG